rnacentral:lncRNA from 1 species
GAAAUCCUUUCUCGUCUAGAUCCAAACUACGUUCCUUUCUACAUGCCGAUCUCGUCUAGAUCUAGAUCGAAACAAGUUUCCUUUCUCCAUGCCGAUCCGUGCGGUUUACUUCUCGUCGGAUGCUUUGUCGGAUCGACGAACGGUGAAUAUCUCUCCGUUGUUUGUCUGCUCGAAACACAUGGGCUUGUUUUGUGAUGUGCAGAUUCAGAUCUGAUUAAGAGUUGCGCGUGCGCCGGCUCGGAUCGAGACGAGGCUGCGUCGAUGUGUGCGCGGUGGCUGCUGGUCUGCAUGUUUGGGCGCGUCGGAUCUGAUGUUGGUUAGUCCUUUGCCCAAGGAACCCGUGUUGAUUCAGUCUGUUUCGGUUGGUCGUACGGUGCCUUAUCCCUCGAUUUUGUUUUCUGCUGACCUUCAGAGCUGGGACGUCUCGGCGAGAUUGGGGUGAUCUGGCGGUUUCGGAGGCGUGGAAGGGACGCGGCGGUGUGGUCGGAUUGCUGGAUUUGCUUCAACUCUCCUGAUGAUAUCUCUUUGUAUUGAUAAUUAUUGGAUGGAAUUUCCAUAAUUAUUAGAUCCGAGAGAUGUUGCUCGGGGAAAUCCGUGCCUUGAAGGCGAGGUAAGCUAAACACAUGUAACCAGCGAGUUGCGUGUGGAGUCGGGAGGAGAAAAGAAAAAAAGAUGUGAAAAAAGAGAAGAUGUGAAAAAAAAAGAUGUGACAUCUUGAAGGCCUUUGCCAUGAUGGGUGCGCUCGCAUGGCAGGCCACCGUAAUAAAGAUGUUGAUUUUGUGCCUCGGGUGGGAGAUCGCACGGGGGGUUAUUUUUUUUAUCCCCCGGGUUCUCCCUCCCCUUGUGUCCCUGUGCCCGCUUCUUCUUGUUGGCUACACGUCUCCCUGGUACACCUCGGGCAUUCUACAAUUUGGCAAGGAGCUACAGCGCCGCACGCAAGGUACAAUUGGCAAUCUGAAGUUGCAAUUCAUAUUACAUACUAAUCCAUACUUAUGCUGUUGCAAUUUAUAAUGCAAACUAGAUAAAUUUCUUAACGUCUAUAACUAAGCGAAGUUUAGUGGUGCAAUCAUCAAUCCUUGUUGCUUGUAGUACGUGCUUUCAUUAACUCAUUAACUUCACGGUUAAAGCAGUCAUCCAUGCCAUGCUUCUUAAUUUUAGGACGUGCCAAGUCAUAGUGCACCCAUCUGUUCUUCCAUCCGAGCAACACCACUGACACACGAACGACGCGUACUGUUCGAUUUUUAAGUCGAUCUGCGUACCAAAUUGAAAAAAUGAAUUAAUUAAAGGGAAACCUGGCGAUGAUAACUGCUGGUUUCUGAAUUACACCUUCACACCUCAAUACUAUCAUCUGUGAAUCUACUGAGUUCAAUUAUGUGGCAAAUGUGUCACGUUCUGAAUUACACCUUCACACCUCACCUUCACACCUUAAUACUAUCAGCUGUGAAUCUUCUGAGUUAAAUUAUGUGUAUGUGGCAAAUGUGUCGCGGCUGCUACGCUGAUUCUUUUAAGUGUUACUUUCAUGCUUCAAUUAGCACCUCACCUAGGAUUUCUGUCAAGAAACAUGAAAUUCUAUAUAUAUUGGGCACUGUAAGUUCUCUGUUAUAUUUUGUUCUGAGUGUUAAUUUUGAAUUAUAUCAAUAUCUAGAAUGAUCAAGUGUUGCAAGUUUAUGUGAUAUUUAGUUCUAUAGUGGUUAUGCAAGAUGCAGCUAUUCAACUAGUUUAUUGUAAUCAGUUUGUGUAAGUGCAAUUUGUCUUCCCUUGUAAGUUGUAUAAGGACAUGUACGAGGAUGUAUGGCGAGAUGGCGUGCUGGUUUAUGAAGCUUCCAGCUGUUCUCUUCCCUGGAAGAUACUGCUGAGGCUUCGUGCCUCCUGGGAGUUCCGCAGCUGCUCAUGCUCCUGGGAGUUCUGAAGUUCUUGCUGGUGCUUUCAGCGGUUAUGUUGCUGAAGCUUCCUAAAUGUCUUCGGUUGGAGGUUCUGGAGUUAUGAUGUCUUCUGCUGAAGUCGAAGCUUUGCUGAAGCCUCCUAAAUAUCUGAAAUUUUCUGUGGUUUUAUUGGUCGAGCUCCCCCGUGGUCUAGAAAAGUACUUCACCACUUGAGCGGACCGUCUGGCUGCUUGGCGGGUUUCACAAUAUAUGGUGACUGAUGCUGCUUAAUUUUUGUAACACAUGUUUUGUCGUUGCAAUUGUUCUUGUCGUAUUUUUUGAGGUUGAGCUGUAAGAGUAGUUCACCUGGAGAGUACAUUAUCUACAGUUCUGCUGGCAUUUUUUUGGAGGAGACAACGUGGAAGAGGUUUGGGCUGAAGGUAUAUCUGAUUUCACUCAUUCAUUGCUAUCCGACACUCAACUUUGUAUUGUAAUUUGUUGCAACUGCUGUGCAUGUGUCCGAAGCAGUUUACAUUUUGUAUAAGCUUAGGUUUUUUACGCUGUUCUGUUUGUGGGCAGAUCUGUCUCGUUGCUGGUUUUCAUUUCAAAUAAGCGUAGGUUCGUACAAGUGAUUUUGGCAACAAAAUUGAGGUUAAGUUUCGCGUAUAGACCGCUGUGUAGUCCUCGUCUGUGUCCCGACUCUGUCUCUGGAUCUUAUCUCAACACGGUGAGGUCCUCCGUGGACUGGUCAGCUUUGCCUACCUGCCCGGACGGAAGGUGGUUCGACUCCACCAAGAUCCUGUAGUUGUGUAGUUUAUUUACUUUCAUUGUUAUAAAUUAAAUUUAUUGC